UACGGAGGGUGCAAGCGUUAUCCGGAUUCACUGGGUUUAAAGGGUGCGUAGGUGGAUUGGUAAGUCAGUGGUGAAAUCUCCGGGCUUAACCCGGAAAACUGCCAUUGAUACUAUCAGUCCUGAAUACCGUGGAGGUCAGUAGAAUAUGUCAUGUAGCGGUGGAAAUGCUUAGAUAUGACAUAGAAUACCAAUUGCGAAGGCAGCUGGCUACACGAAUAUUGACACUCAGGCACGAAAGCGUGGGGAUCAAACAGG
rnacentral:rRNA from 1 species